GUGUGUGUGUGUGUGUGUGUGUGUGUGUGUGUGUGUGUGUGUGUGUGUGUGUGUGUGUGUGUGUGUGUGUGUGUGUGUGUGUGUGUGUGUGUGUGUGUGUGUGUGUGUGUGUGUGUGUGUGUGUUUUAGAGGGUCUCUGAGGUACCAGGGGCAAUAGUAGAAACUGUUCUCCUCAGUGGGGAAGACUCCUUGAAGAAAAAGAAGAGUCGGGAACGGAAGGGCAAGGGACAGAAAGGACGACAUAAGAGGCAAAGACAACGCCUGACGAGUACAGAGGAGGAAGAGGAAGCGGAGGAGGAGGAAUUAUACGAUGGGGAUGAGUACAGUUAUGAAUAUGAGGAUUCCACAGAUGAUCCCUCACUGUCAAUUGAAAAGCAAGGGGAGUUUGAAAUCACAACAGAAAGCACACUACAUGGAAUGAGCAAAGAGAGUGGCCUGACAACUUUAGGUCCAUAUCCAUCCCAGUCACCAGGAGACAGUGAAAAGCAGGGGGAAUUCAUCACACCUGUCCUUCCCAGCACAACGGAAGAAACAGAGAAGGUAAGUCUGUGACUGACUGCAUGAUUCUACCUGAUGCUUUACUAACCAUGAUCCUGAGGGAUAUGAGGUGUAAAUGGACACAACUAGCCUUCUAUUAGUCUUUACUAACCAUGAUCCUGAGGGAUAUGAGGUGUAAAUGGACACAACUAGCCUUCUAUUAGUCUUUACUAACCAUGAUCCUGAGGGAUAUGAGGUGUAAAUGGACACAACUAGACUUCUAUUAGUCUUUACUAACCAUGAUCCUGAGGGAUAUGAGGUGUAAAUGGACACAACUAGACUUCUAUUAGUCUUUACUAACCAUGAUCCUGAGGGAUAUGAGGUGUAAAUGAACACAACUAGCCUUCUAUUCGUCUUUAUUAAUGGUGUUUCAGUUCAUGUAUGCCUCCGUUGGACUGUGGGUGUAUGAAUGUGAUGCAAAGUGCUUUGAUCCAAUGAUUAUCAUUGGCAUUCCAAUACAAAGGUUGUAGGUAAUUGAUAUCAUUUAUAUUUUCUAACUUAUCUUCUUUAUGCGUUUCUUGGUUGAUUAGAAUUCACAAAAUAAAGCCCUGCCCAGUGUUCACUAACAUGAAUACAUAGUCAGAUUGUGUCAUAAUAAUGAUUGGCCAACCAUCGUAGUGAUCUGAGCACUUGUCAUCACUGCGUACGUUGAGAUCUUUCGUCUGACUAACAACUGUGAACAUUUCACCAGUGCAAAAGGUACCACAAUUCCACAUGUCAUUUUAAACAAUAAAUAUUAUGCCAUCGUUAUAAUAAAAGUAUAUAAAGACAUUUGAU
ensembl:lncRNA